rnacentral:misc_RNA from 1 species
GUAGGUGAACCUGCGGAAGGAUCAUUAUCGAAUAAACUUGAUGGGUUGUCGCUGGCUCCUAGGAGCAUGUGCACAUCCGUCAUUUUUAUCCAUCCACCUGUGCACCUUUUGUAGUCUUUGGAGGUAAUAAGCUUGAAUCUAUCGAGGUCCUCUGGUCCUCGGAAAGAGGUGUUUGCCAUAUGGCUCGCCUUUGAUACUCGCGAGUUACUCUAAGACUAUGUCCUUUCAUAUACUACGAAUGUAAUAGAAUGUAUUCAUUGGGCCUCAGUGCCUAUAAAACAUAUACAACUUUCAGCAACGGAUCUCUUGGCUCUC